rnacentral:rRNA from 1 species
UACGUAGGACGCAAGCGUUAUCCGGAUUUAUUGGGUUUAAAGGGUGCGUAGGCGGACCCAUAAGUCAGUGGUGAAAUACUGUCGCUCAACGAUAGGAUUGCCAUUGAUACUGUGGAUCUUGAGUACAAUUGAGGUAGGCGGAAUGUGUAGUGUAGCGGUGAAAUGCUUAGAUAUUACACAGAACACCGAUUGCGAAGGCAGCUUACUAAAUUGAAACUGACGCUGAGGCACGAAAGCGUGGGGAUCAAACAGG